rnacentral:tRNA from 1 species
UUAAUUAAAGCCAAAGAGAGAGGCAUAUCGCUGUUAACGAUAUUAAUAAACUAUAAAGUUUUAAUUAAA